CCUACGGGAGGCAGCAGUGGGGAAUAUUGCACAAUGGGGGAAACCCUGAUGCAGCGACGCCGCGUGAGUGAAGAAGUAUUUCGGUAUGUAAAGCUCUAUCAGCAGGGCAGAAAAUGACGGUACCUGCUUAAGAAGCCCCGGCUAACUACGUGCCAGCAGCCGCGGUAAUACGUAGGGGGCAAGCGUUAUCCGGAUUUACUGGGUGUAAAGGGAGCGUAGACGGCAGCACAAGUCUGGAGUGAAAUGCCGGGGCUUAACCCCGGAACUGCUUUGGAAACUGUGCAGCUCGAGUGCAGGAGAGGUAAGUGGAAUUCCUAGUGUAGCGGUGAAAUGCGUAGAUAUUAGGAGGAACACCAGUGGCGAAGGCGGCUUACUGGACUGUAACUGACGUUGAGGCUCGAAAGCGUGGGGAGCAAACAGGAUUAGAUACCCCUGUAGUC
rnacentral:rRNA from 1 species